rnacentral:rRNA from 1 species
UGUCUUUUUGAUAAAUAAUUUAAAGUCUAAUCUGCCCCCUGAAAUUAUUUUAAAGGGCUGCGGUAUUUUAACCGUACAAAGGUAGCAUAAUAAUUAGGUUUUUGAUUGAAAUCUAGAAUGAAUGAUUGGACGAGAUACAAGCUGUUUUAAAAUAAUUUAUUAAAACUUAAUUUUUUAGUCAAAAAGCUAAAAUUUUAUUAAAAGACGAGAAGACCCUAUAAAUCUUUAUAGUAAAUUUAUUUUAAUAAAUUAUUUAAUUAAAAUUAAUAAUUUAAUAAUUAAAACUAUUUUAUUGGGGUGAUAAAAAAAUUUAAUAAACUUUUUUAAUUUAAUUUCUUAAAUUAUAGAUUUUAAAAUUUAUGAUCUAUUAAUAAUAAUUCAAAGAAUAAGAUACUUUAGGGAUAACAGCGUAAUUUUAAUUUUAAGUUCUUAUUAAAAUUAAAGAUUGCGACCUCGAUGUUGGAUUAAAAUUUAAUUUAAAUGCAAAAAUUUAAAAAUUAAGUCUGUUCGACUUUUAAAAUUUUACAUGAUCUGAGUUCAAACCGGUGUAAGCCAGGUUGGUUUCUAUCUUUAAUAAAAAUAAAUUUUUUAGUACGAAAGGAUCGAAAAUUUUAAAUGAAUUUAUAGUAAAUAAUAUGAAAAAAAUUAAUAUAUUUAAUAUUUAAUU